UUAAUGAAGAGAUUCCGCCCUAGCAUACUGGAAUAAGAGCCUCUCUAGCUGGCUCUUGAUGAUGUAUGCCUGUGAGAAGGUCACUUGGCAAGGAACUGUGAGCAAUCUUAGGCCAAGCCAGGCCCAUGAUCAACAAGCCCUAAAGCUGUGUAACACUGAAUUCUGUCAACAAGCAUGUGAGUUUUGAAGAGGAGCCCAAGCUCCGUAAAGGAAUGCACCCUGGCCAAAGCCUUGACUGCAUCCUUGCAAGACCCUGUGCAGAGGACCUUCCUGAGCCAAGAUCAGAUUCCUGAAACAUAGAGAAGCACUAUUUGUUGAUUUAAAUAGAUGGUUCUGCAGGUAAAACACUUGGUGCACAAAGCCUGAUGACCUGAGUUUGAUGCCUGGAACCCACGAUGGGAAGGGAGAACCCGUUUCUAAAAGUUAUACUCUGCACUCCAUACGAACACUAUGGCAUACACACGAGAGUUCUGACUGGCACCCUCUACUAGUGGGCUGCAGGCAUCUGUUGGAAGCCAGAUGCCCACAUGCCAAGCUCCUUGCUCAGUCAAGAAAAGAAACACUGUCCAGACUUGGUUUCAUCAGGAAAGCCUCUGGCAAACAAAAAGAACUUUGUGUCAAAGUCUUUCUCCUACAUUGGCUACCAGCUGUAAUAGCAUCUGAACUUCCUAUGACUCUGUUGACCAGAACAUAGUGACAUGUACUUCUCACUCAACUGGCAAGGAUUCCUUUCUUUCCCAGAGUCCCAGUUACAUGUGCCAGAACUCAAUAAUGAGUUGCCCAGUCCCUGUCCACAAAGACGUAAUUCAUGGGAAAAACAGGACUCCAAAGAACGGCCACCUGAAAAGCAGCCAAAGGCUAAUGCCCACAGGCAAAAGAAAAUUUCUUUACUCCAGAUAGAAGACAUGAAGCAGGCGAGGCAUCUGAGGUACCAAUAAAUCAGCACCCACCAUAAUCUUGACUUGAAGAAGAGCUCCCAAUAAACUUGGAAGAAUAAAGAAAAAGAAGGAAAAGAAUGCAUGAAAGGAGGGAGAGGAAAUGAAGAAUGGAAGAGGAAACGAAAAAGACAGAAGGUUAAAAGAAAGAUAAAUAACCCAUCUCCCUAGGAACCUCCUAUAAACUAUUUGCAUCCAUUCCAAAUUCUUAUGUUCAAAUGUAAUCCUCAACGUGAUGAUAUCCAUAAGUAGGAGUCUUCAGAAGGUGGUCAGUUCAGGCUGGAGAGAUGGCUCAGAGGUUAAGAGCACUGACUGCUCUUCCAGAGGACCUGAGUUCAAUUCCCAGCACCCACAUGGCAGCUCACAACUGUCCAGUUCCAGGGGAUCUGAUACCUUCACACCAAUGCACAUAAAAUAAAGUUAAAUAAAUUAUAAAAAAGGUGGUCAGUUCAUGAGCAAUCAAUAAAAUUAGUGUCCUUACAAAAGAGGCUCCAGAGAUUUCCUUCUCUUCUUCUUCCAUGUGGCAUCAUAGCAAGAAGAUGUUAGCUCUCUGCAGACAGUAACCAUGAUAAUGACUUUAUCUUGGAAUUCCCAGCCUUCAGAACUG
rnacentral:lncRNA from 1 species